UACACACAGAGCUCUGAACUAGCCAGAAUGUGAGUAGCUAUUGUUCAGUGAAAAGAAACCCUUCUUUGAAAGAGCUUCUGUGAAGAGAGCUGUGUAUCGUGCUGCAGAGGAAGGCAGGCACUAGUGACACAGAGGGAGCUGGCGAGGUCGGGAAGAUUAUGUGCUGGGAGACACAGUACACAGUCUUACUGUGGGAAACUGCAGCAGGUCUGUGGAAUCCUUAACAGAAAAUACGGGAGUAGAGAUCAGCCUUGAAGAUAUUAAGAUUUACCCUUGAGAAGGAUGGGAGUAAAGGAGUAUCCGGAGAAGCAGCUCUGAAGGUGAGAUGCAGAAGUCAAAAUGGAUGGCAAUCCAGGAAGUGAAUUCCUGUCUUCAGGGGUCAUGAAAAUUGAGUGAACCCUCCCACCAAACAAACCACAAAGUUAAUAGAUCUCUUGAAAAAGAGUUCUCAUUUCCAUUGUGUCUGGCCAUCUCAUCCAGAGGGAGAAUAAAAGCAGGAGCGUUGAGGAAGAAGGUGCAGUGAAGAAGAAAGAGGAAGAGAAGUCUGUCCUAUUAAAAAUCCUAACCAAAUAUACUCAUAGUGUUGCAGGUAUUUGGUAAUCCUGGGUAAUAAUAGUGUUUAAAUAAAAACUGUGGUAAAGUAUUUUAGACAACACUAUGCAUGUAGAUCUGGAGCUGUGUGCUCUAAAUGAUGAACCUGAAGAGCAAAGACACUCUUGGUCCAGUUAUUGAUUUGUAGCUCUCUGCAUUCAAACAGAUAUGACAAAGAAUGUAUCAAGUAGUUGUGUUCAUCACCCAUCAUGUACAACUGCCUGAUGCAGUUGUUUAGUGCAAAAAUCAAUUACAUUUUCUAGCUUCUAUUUAUCUAAUUGUGCUGUUAACAGACAGUGAAAUAAAUCCAAAUUGUGAUUUUUAGACAGAGAUGACUGCAUACGGAGACAAAGCAGUAAAGGUAGCUAAUAAAAGUUUAGGUAGUCUCAGCAGCCAGUGAAGUAUUAAUGCUCAUCAUUCACACAGCUUUGGUUUGGUACAUUACUGACAAGUUUAAAAGAGUUAUUAAUGCUUUAUUUAAUACUUCCCAGAGACAUUUACAAGGUUGUUAGGUUGGCAUUUGGUCAAUUUUGACUCACACCUGGAACCUGAACAGGUUGAAGACAACCAAGUUGGACUUGGUCAGUUUAAUUACUGAGUUAUCUAGAUUUCAUACUUGUAUAAGGUGUGUUUGUAUCAAGAGUGAUCAGUGACUCUUUAUUCAGUAAAAAUACAAGACUACUUUCCCUUGUAAAAAACCCUGAAGUUUUGUUUAAAUGUAAUACAAAGCCUUCCAAUUAUCUAUUCCAAAUAUUGGCAACUGGCAAUACUGCAGCAUAUAUUUGGUUUGAUAUGGUUUGCACUAAAAAAUAAAUUGUCUACAGUGAGUAUGUUAGGACAUAUAUUUUGUGCACAAAUAAGAAUGAACUGAUCUUCUAAUUCCUGGCUGGAAAUGCUGUUCCAUCCCCCCACCUCAUCACCCCCCUGAAAAAUAGCAACAAGAGUCUUUGAACCCCACCUACUGACAGAUGUACAUGUUUGGCCUCAGGUCACCAAUGUUUCUUGUCCAUCUGUUUGGGUGGCACUGUGUUUAAUCACAAGCUACACAAAACCCUCCACAAAAGUAUCAUGGUUUGGCAAAAAUAAGUUUGGAAAAACAUUUUGUAUUAGCAUUUCAUAUUUUCCUCUAUGCUAGCAAUGUCUGUAAGUAGGUUCCUCCUGCAUUUGAUCACAGCUGUUCAGACCUUAGCCAAACUCUAUUAAAUGAUCAAGAGAAAAGGAAAAUAGUUCAUAGACAGUCGAGCCUUGUGCAACAGCAUGGAUAACAGUGGGUGUUUGAGAAAGUCACAAUUCAGGUUUUGACUUUAAUAUAGAACUCCUCCCUUAGAAGUUGAUGCCAUUCACUUCACAGUGCAAACCCUCACACAUUGCCAGGAAAAGAAAAAAAAAAGAAGAACUGUAAAAAAUGUGUGAGAUAACUAAUUAGCAUAAAAGUAAGGAGCAGUUCUUAGGCUAUAGCAUCUGCAGAAAUAAGGUGUGAUACAUCAUUUCAAAAGGGUUAAAGGAAAUAAGGAUCUGUGCUUUUCAAAGAUAACUGGCUAUUUUUCCUCUACCACUAGGAAUUUUGCCAACAAAGGAUAUUUAAAGAAAAAAAAAAUACUCAAGUGUUUAUCUGAAAAAACAUGCCAAGAUUUCAUUCUUUCAUGUUAAAAUCCUAAAUAACUUCAUCCUUCAAAAUUUGCAUGAAGGAAAGCUAACUGAGUUCCACUGCUCUAUAUGUUAUGAUGGUAGAAGCUGAAUUGGCUAAAUCAGGUGUUCUAUUGCCAUGUUUUAGAAAGCAUUUUAUGAAAGAUGAGUUGCUAUACAAAAUCAAAUUUUAUCUCAGCCUGAAAAAUAUUUGUUCCAUAGCCUCCUGCAACAGUUAAUCUAGCUUCCUUGGAGAAAUUAUAUGGCCUUCCUUUAAGACUAUUACUGCCACAAUAAAGAAUAUCUCAUAUUUAAUUAGAAAAGUGAUAAGGCUUUAGGAAGGCUUUGAACACCAUUGAAUUUUCAUAUCUUAGUGUUGAAAAAACAAUACAGGUCCUUUGUACAGUAAGAGAACCUAUCCCAAUGGUUUUGCAUGGAAAGAAUUAAUAAUCAUAGCUUCAGGCUUCAGGAAUUAACUAAGAAUGUUUCUCAGAGUCCUGAACAGGAUGCCAUUACCAGCUGAAAAAGAGUUAAAACCAUUCUGAGACUUCAACACAGGAGAGAUGCUAAAGAGAGUUGGAGUUUUUGCUAUGCUUACAGUCUCUGUAAGAUGUAUUGAGAGGUUCUUAACAGAAUUUGACUGAGAGAUGUGGUAUGGGAGUGGGACAUGAGGCCUUUUGUUUUGAAGAAUAUUACUUAAAUAACUCCCAAUUUUUUUCUUUUUUUUUUAAAGAGCAUACUUGUAGAUACCUCAUUAAUAUGGAAAAUCAAUUAACAAACAUUUUAAUCUUGUUCUUUUUCCAGUUCUUCCUAGUAUUUUAUGAAUUGGAUUGAUAAUGCUAUUAUAGGACAUCUAGUACUUAAGUAUAUUUUAAAUAAAACACUUAAAAUAGUACAGUUGAAACAGCAAUUAUUCUAGCAAUCUAAUAUUUCAUGUGAAAUUCAUUAAUGCUUUCAUUACGUGAUUGAGCCCAAAACAUUGAAGUAAGAACAAUUUGGCAGCAUUUUUGCAUGAUAUGCCUCUGCUUAAAAUGUCAGUCCAGUUGAAAUUGAAAAAAAAUCUUUGGGGUGGUAAGGAGGCUGAAAGACUCACAAAUGAAAACAGGAGGUUUUGGAGCCCAUUAAAAAAAAGUCUCUUGAUUUCCUAAUAAAACAUUAGAUGAUGUUGUGACUUCUUUUCUUUGCUUAGUUUAAUAAAUCAGCACAUUAAAUAUACUGAAAAAAACCUAGAAAUGUUUCACCAUGUCCUGUUUGUUAUCCUAAAGUAAUAAGUCACCAAUAAAAAAUAUGCUAAGGGUGCUUGGAUAAGCUCAUAUAAACAUUUUUUUUUUCUUGAUGUAACUCAUUCUUUUCCCACUUGAAAUGGUGCUGAUGUAAAAUGUUAUGAUUGAGAAGUUGCUCACUUGGGAAUGAGAAUUAACUUUCAGUGUUUAAUUUUGUAUUUCUGAAAUUAUUUUUUCUAGAGAAGAGAUUUCAGGUGAUCUAAUGCAAAGUUCCUGAGCCAUUUUCUAUGGUUUAGUCAUAUAAUAGUAUGUAUGUCUUGUGUAGUCACAAAAACAUAUGACAUAUUUCGUGAGCUAUUCCAUCUUUGUGAAGUUCAUACCUUUAAUGUUACGCUGAAAGGUGAACUAGAUAAGAGGGGUGAUCAGAGCUCUUUUUAUCAGAAGGCUGAUAUACUCAUAUUGUGGAAAUAUUAUUACAUAUACUACUACUUCUGAAAUAAUUUGUUAAAUUUCUUAGAUUCCUGUAUGCUUUUAAAAUGUGUUUUGCUAGAAUGGAGGGAGAUCAGUUUAAUACAAGUUCUUGGCAAUAACAUAAUACCUAACAUUUAAGCAACUUCCUUUGUCAUGUUAUAAAAAUACUACUGUUGCUUGCUGAAUAUUUGGUUUUCUGUUUAAGUAUACUCGAGAAAAUGAAACUGAAAUAUGUUGAAAUUUGCAUGUUCACAAAACAGAUGAUAUCUUACACAAUAAGAAAUAUAGGACUUCUCACUGAAAAGCAGAAAUAUAUAGAAUGUAUAGUAGACAGUUAUAUCUUGAACUUCUCCUUAGUGGUCUAGAUGAUAUUUUUGAAAUGCAUACAUUUUAGGAAGAGCACUAACAAAGAAUGUCACAAAAUGGACCAUGUUUGCCUAAUUCUUGCUGUCCUUAAUAAGUCUUCUGGUUAAGAUAACAGCAAUGUAUAACCAAAUAUAUUAAAAACAAUCAAUAAAUAUGGUGUGGUAUUAACAUAUGCAUCUAAUUCUCAAAGAAAUUAUGAAAUACUAGCAGUGACAUUUUCCCUAAAAUGUAGUAAAGCCAGGCAGAGUUAUGGGUCAUUUUCAGCCAUAGUAAUGCUGGGCAGAGAUAUGGGUAAUCUUUGAUCUUAGACAGUUUUCUGAAAGCAAUAAGUAAAAGCCCACUAUAUGGCUUUUGAUUGUUUUUAUUAAUCAGGGCAGGGUCACAGACUUAGGAGCUCUAUUACCUUUUCCCUAAUCCUGUUUUUCUUCCUGUCCAUCUGGGGUAGAUGUCAUUAAACCAAAUAAAUGGUGCUUCUGUUUGGAAUUACACCAGGAUAUAGUAGUAGAAUCCACAAAAACUUAUUUUCAAACUCAGUCCCCCUCAUGCCAAGAACACAGAUUAGCUUAUGACCAUCUCAUCUGAAGAAAACUGUUAAAAAAAUCCACAGUCCACUGUUUGUCUCUUUAUAGCUCCGUGGCUAUUUUUUUUUUUUGUAUUAAAGAACAAAUGAGGGAAUGGUAGACUUUCAGAAUGAAUAAACAAGAUAAUUUUUACCUUGUACAUAUUAUUUCUCAGAAACAAAAUAUUUUAAGAGAAGGUUUUAUUUAUUUAUAAAGUUUUAUCUUUGAAUGUUCUUUCUACUUCCUUGACUGUGCAUGACACAGCCUACUAUAGUUAUGAAAGGGAUCAAAAACUCAGAAAUCAUCAAGUAGAUAGUCUUGAUUAACUCAAAUUGGAUGCUACUGAAAUUAUAUGAAAGUUGUCUCAUUAUGUAUAAAACUCCUCUACCAGAUUUAGGGCUCUAGUUUCUAGUUAACAUCAUCAGUGGAAUAUCAAGGCACCAAGAGGGAAUAGGGCCAAAACCCAUUCAAUUAGGUUGUGAAUGACUCUUUUGUGCUUAUCAGAAUUUAAGUGAACCUCUCAACUCUUUGACAUAAAUCCACUGUUAACAUGGAAGAAACACAGCCAAAUCAAUUAUAGAAGGAAACGUCUGCCAUCUUUGCAAGUAAUAGAAUAAUAUUUUAGUGUUAUAUUAUUUUAAUACUUUGUCCUGUAAUAAUACCACACAAAAAUAAGUGAGAUUCAUUGUUCAACUUGCACUAUUUUACAAAUAAGAAUGCAUUAUAUUUAAACUCCCGUUGGAGCACAAAUUGAUGUUUAUUCAUUCCAUGGCAUUUAUGUCCUAGUAAAAAAACUAGAGUGCUUCCCUCUCCUGUCUGACAUUUUCCUUUUAAACAUUAAUUGUUUUCACUUUAAUAUCUUAUAUAAAAUAAUUGUUUGUACAUUAAAUGGCUUAGAAAUUUAUAAAUAGCUGACAGGGACCAGGGGGUGUUAUUUUCAGUAAGCUUACACAGACUGUAACUGCACAUAAAUGUUGAUUACUAUUUCUUUUACUUAUAUUAAUUAAAAUAAUGGAUGUAAUCAUAGAAAUACUUUGUUUUCAUUAAAAUGGACAGAUGAUGAAUAAUUAACCAGGUUUAUACCUUUGAAACUACACAGAUUUUAACUCUGAAAGCAGAUACUUUGAGGACUGUUUGCUUGCUGUACUAGCUAAAAUACACCCUUUCAGUUUGCAAGCAUAUUUUAUAUCUGCAAGAAUAUUCUGUCCUAAAUCAAAUGCAGAAGGCUACAGCACUUUGUGUGAGUAAUUUCACGUUAGAUUUUUGAUGUUACUCUGACAGUUCUUAAGAGUAGAUGGAGGGCCUGUGUUAUUAGUCAGGACAUGUUUGUGAAUAAAAUUAAAAAAAUAAGCCAUAGUCUUGUUUGGGUGUUUCAGAAAGGAAUAAAUCCAUUUGAUCUGUUCUUCUCAGAGGAGGCUAUCAGGCACCAUUUUUUUUCUGUUGUUCUUCUGGAGCUCACCACUAUAGAAGAUGAGUGUUUCCCAAUUAAUUUAGUCAGAAAAAUCCUCAUGGCCUAAAAGGUUUAUUUAGCUCUAUUUUACAAGUAAGAAUCUAAGAAAAAACUUCUAAAGUUAGAAAAUACUUUCUAGCAGAUCUGUGUAGCUCUGAAUUCUUGGUCUGAAGGACUGAUGGGUUUUGUUUCGUUUGGUUUGGUUUUGUGGGUUUUUUUUGUGUUUUGUUUGUUUGUUUGUUUGUUUGUUUGAUUUUAAGACUGCAUAGUAGAAGUAGAAGUUGAAAACUGUUUCCCUGGGAAGAGAACAGUUUUUGUUGGAAUAUUUUUACUGUAAAAUGCCAAUCUCUUCAAAUGAGGCAAAUCUCUAAACAGAACAGUCAUUAUACGGUAGCCUCAAACCAUUCCCAAAUCAAGUCUACCCAGUAUGUAACUGAGGAAAAUAAGAACUAAGAUAGUGGAGAAUGUAGGAGUUACUAUGGUACUUAGACUUGUGGAAAUCUGCAAUAUGGAAGAAGGUUUCAUUCUCUCUCUCUCUUUCAACAGUGCACUAGUAUGGAAGAAGACCAGGCUGAGCCUUUAGCUAAAAAGGACUGAUUUUUUAAAUGAACUGUUUUUCAGAUGAUAUAAUUAAAGGUCAGAAGACAACCUUCAUGCUUCUUUAUUUUUCUGUCUUCUAGCCUUGUUUAUACCGAGGCUGUUCAGGUCACUGUUUUGAGAUGAUGAUGCAGGAAGGUUUAUGUAUCUUUGGCAUAAUUUUGCAUAGUGGUUGUCUAAAGUUUCUGUGCUGGGAGUAUCAUCUAGAAAGGUUACUGUGACAUUUCCAAAAUUGCCUCUUGUUAAUAUGAAUGAAACGUUAUUCUCCCAUGUCAUGCAUAUAUAUAUUGUGUACAUGUAUGUGUAUAUUUAUCCAGAACACACAUGCAUAAAUGUGUGUAUAUAUGGAAUAUUGAUGUUAGAAAUAAUAUUUUCUUUAUGUUCCAUUCUGCCUUGAAUGCUUCAAUAAGGAGUAGCAAUCAAAACAAUACUUCUCAAACAUCAAAAAUUCGGAGGAAAGAGAAAUGAUGGACAACAUAGUUUUCAUUAUCCUCUGAGUUAUGAACAAGUUUCACCAACUUCUCUUACUAAAUAAAGUCUUGCUUAUGGCGGCUAAACUAACUAUAAUAUCCUUUGCUGUGACUGGUGGACUUUCAUAUAGAAUGAAAUAUUUUAAAUGACAAUUUAAAUAUAGUUACAUAUAACCUAAUGAUUUUUAGCUAUUAUGCCAGCAAUGUCUUGAAAAUAGAGCCACUAAAUUUUCUUCAAACAAAUUCUUAUUUUGAGUCUGCUUAUAUUAAAGUGGAACUGUAUUGAAGGCAACAUGACUUUGGGUGGGUAAAGGUAAAAUAAAACUUUUCUAUUGAUACCAUCUGUCAUUUUCCUGGUCUGCUUCUCCUCUGAAUACUGUUAAAGCAUUUUCUGGACAAUUAUUCCAUGAUGAUU